rnacentral:rRNA from 1 species
CCUACGGGUGGCAGCAGUGGGGAAUAUUGGACAAUGGGCGAAAGCCUGAUCCAGCCAUGCCGCGUGUGUGAAGAAGGCCUUCGGGUUGUAAAGCACUUUCAGUGGGGAAGAAAGCCUUGGGGCUAAUACCCUCGAGGAAGGACAUCACCCACAGAAGAAGCACCGGCUAACUCCGUGCCAGCAGCCGCGGUAAUACGGAGGGUGCGAGCGUUAAUCGGAAUUACUGGGCGUAAAGCGCGCGUAGGCGGUCUGAUAAGCCGGUUGUGAAAGCCCCGGGCUCAACCUGGGAACGGCAUCCGGAACUGUCAGGCUAGAGUGCAGGAGAGGAAGGUAGAAUUCCCGGUGUAGCAGUGAAAUGCGUAGAGAUCGGGAGGAAUACCAGUUGCGAAGGCGGCCUUCUGGACUGACACUGACGCUGAGGUGCGAAAGCGUGGGUAGCAAACAGGAUUAGAUACCCGAGUAGUC